GCUGGUUUGGCGCAGUGGUAACGCGUAGCACUUGUAUAAUCAAAAGAAUUUCCCCUAAUUCUACAAAAAAAAUCGCAAUGCUAAGACCGCUUGUUCGAUUCAGGCAAUCAGCA